UAGAUAUUUAAUCUCAUAUUUGCUCUAUUAUUCUCUCUGCUACUAACCACUAGUAACCUGGGUUACAUCCCUUUUGCAUUUACCUUAUUAAGCAUGAACUGUGAUUACAACAGAAAACCUGUACCAGGUUCUGUGACCGUGACUCUAACUGUCCUGACAAUGAGAAGUGUUGCAGCAGUCGAUGUGGACAUUACUGUACAUCUCCUUAUACAGGUAUGUUAUAUUGCUUUGGUUUGUAGAUUAGUUUUUUAUUUCUUCUGGUAGCCAAUUUUAACAUUUCAAGUCCCCCAAAACAAAUGUGCCCCAAAAGGGUCUUGCCCCUAUUUUGUUAGCCCAGCCCCACAUAUACAUGGCUGAAGUGCAUAAUACGUUUGCAUAUGCUUGUCUCAUGUUCGCACAGAUCAAAAAAAAAAGCCAGCAUAUUGGUUUUGCUCUUACAAAAAUAAUACUAUGUGCCUAUUGAGAAGAAACAAGGCAGCCUUGGCAUCCGAUCACAGGCCUUCCUGCUCCUUGAGUUCUCUCCAGUGCUGGAAAGCUGUUUCAAUACUUAAACUGGUCCUACUUGCCUUUAUUGCAAGCCUCCUUUUGUUCUGCAGACUUAUCAUAAUUGUAUUCAUUUUUAAUCCGUCAUCCCUUCUGUUGUUGCUCUGCUUAUGCCAGUCCUGUGCCUCUCCCAUCAGGAGAAGACAUGCCCCUUACUGCUGAUUGGCUCAAGUUUGUUUUGGCACUAUGCCCAAAUCUUUCUAAAGCAUUUUUGAAAAUCAAUAACCCACCUUUACUCUCUUAGGAUUGCUUUAAGCCCAGGAUGGCUUUACCAAAGAGGAAUAAUUGGAAUGGAAUUUACUGUAGGUGAUAUUGCUGUUUGUGCUCUGAGUGUUUCGUGCUGUAUAUUGAAGUGGCAUACAGUCUAUAUGCACAGACUAAAGCUGAUUAUCUGUGUCCAUGUAGUGAAGCCGGGUCAAUGUCCCAAACCGAAGAGCGUUCCAGAAAUUGCUGAAAGCUGUUUCCAUGAUGGCCAGUCUCCUGCCACACAGAAAUUUUGCCCAACCACCUGUGGCCAUGUAUGUAGUGAACCAGAUGAUCAGGAAAGGGAUCAGGGAAGUGGUCAGGGUUACGGAAGUGGAGAAGGAAGCGGACGGGGACAGGGAAGCGGACAGGGUUACGGAAGUGGUCAGGGUUAUGGAAGUGGAGAGGGAAGCAGAUGCGGACAGGGAAGCGGACAGGGAAGGGGUCAGGGAAGCGGACCGGGUUACGGAAGUGGUCAGGGAAGUGGUCAGGGUUAUGGAAGUGGUCAGGGUUAUGGAAGUGGUCAGGGAAGCGGACGGGGACAAGGUGAGGGAAGGGGACAAGGUGAGGGAAGCAGACAGGGAAGGGGUCAGGGAAGUGGUCAGGGUUACGGAAGUGGUCAGGGAAGCGGACGGGGACAAGGUGAGGGAAGCGGACAGGGAAGGGGUCAGGGAAGCGGACAGGGUUACGGAAGUGGUCAGGGUAGUGGUCAGGGUUAGGAAGUGGUUAGGGAAGCGGACGGGGACAAGGUGAGGGAAGGCGACAAGGUGAGGGAGGCAGAUGGGGUUGGGGUCAGGGAGGUGCUUGAAAUGUUCGGGCACGUGGUCCCAGUCAGGGACGUGGUCUGGCACAUUAAUACGUGGUUUUUUUUGCAUUAAUGCUUGCUGGAAGUCUUUCAAUUGAGUGCUUUUAUUCAUGGAUUCAUGAUUUCUUGUCCCCAUCCCUCAAAUAAAAUUGCUUUAUUAAGGAGUUUGUAUCAUCUGUUUUUUUUUAUUUUUAUUUUAUUUUCUUUUCUAGUUUAAUUCAGUGAAGACAAGGUACCUCGAAACAUGCCUGGACUGUGCAAAGGACAUUGUAAUUAAAUGGUUCAAGAAGGUGCCAUCAACAUUUUGAGGAAUGUUUAUAGGUAAAAUAAUGAACAGCUCAAGAUUCAAAUUGUGUCAGUUUAAAUGAGACUUGGGGAAGUUUGAGCAGUUUUUAUAUAUUGGCUGGCUAACUUAAAAUCUUUUGAUCCCAUCCAGGGUUGUUUGGUCUAGUUUUGUUAGUGGCUUGUUCCAUUUUAGCUUUCAUCUGUUUUAAAUCUCAUUUAAAUCUCUUGCCAGGUUUUGCAAGAUGUUUAUUAAUGGCAUAGUUGCCGCUGCAUAUGGGUAUUUACUUCAAUACAAAGAUGCAUAGCUAUGACUAAUUUUAAGUAACUUAACCCACUGGGGUAGAAGCCAGCACUGGUGUCUUGUAUUUUCUUUGACUGUGAAAAGAACUAACCCAUUUUUGAUUGUAC
rnacentral:lncRNA from 1 species